GACGAACGCUGGCGGCGUGCUUAACACAUGCAAGUCGAACGGAAAGGCCCUGCUUUUGUGGGGUGCUCGAGUGGCGAACGGGUGAGUAACACGUGAGUAACCUGCCCUUGACUUUGGGAUAACUUCAGGAAACUGGGGCUAAUACCGGCUAGGAGCUCCUGCUGCAUGGUGGGGGUUGGAAAGUUUCGGCGGUUGGGGAUGGACUCGCGGCCUAUCAGCUUGUUGGUGGGGUAGUGGCUUACCAAGGCUUUGACGGGUAGCCGGCCUGAGAGGGUGACCGGCCACAUUGGGCCUGAGAUACGGCCCAGACUCCUACGGGAGGCAGCAGUGGGGAAUAUUGCACAAUGGGCGGAAGCCUGAUGCAGCAACGCCGCGUGCGGGAUGACGGCCUGCGGGUUGUAAACCGCUUUCGCCUGUGACGAAGCGUGAGUGACGGUAAUGGGUAAAGAAGCACCGGCUAACUACGUG
rnacentral:rRNA from 1 species